CACACACACACACACACACACACACACACACACACACACACACACACACACACACACACACACACACACACACACACACAGGAGCAGGACUUCAGGGAAUUUCCUGCCUUUGUACGAGGAACUCAGACUCUGACACGGAGAGGAAGAGCAGUGGAGAGACACACACACACACACACACACACAUCCAGCUGCUGCUGCUGUGGACUUUAAUAAAUCAAUACUACUGCUCUGCACUGUCCUACAUACCGUGUUCACACGGUGCUUUGGAGAAAGAAAAACAUGCUCUUAACUUUCUGUGUUUUCAAGUCACUGAAAUGUUCCUGCUCUCCAGUGACAUGUGAGAAAAACAUUACCUCGAAUUUCAAGCUGCUCUUUUUGUUCGUUUGAUUGAAUUCAUGUUGUAAAUAUUUGUAAUAAACUGAUGAAAUGGAA